GAUGAACGCUGGCGGCGUGCCUAAUACAUGCAAGUCGAGCGAACGGACGAGAAGCUUGCUUCACUGAUGUUAGCGGCGGACGGGUGAGUAACACGUGGAUAACCUACCUAUAAGACUGGGAUAACUUCGGGAAACCGGAGCUAAUACCGGAUAAUAUUUUGAACCGCAUGGUUCAAAAGUGAAAGACGGUCUUGCUGUCCCUUAUAGAUGGAUCCGCGCUGCAUUAGCUAGUUGGUAAGGUAACGGCUUACCAAGGCAACGAUGCAUAGCCGACCUGAGAGGGUGAUCAGCGGCAUUGUACCUGAGACACGCACCACACUCCUACGGCUGGCACCAGUAGGGAGUCUUCCGCACUGUGCGAACAUCUGCCUGAGCUAUGCCACGUGAGUGAUGAAGGUCCUCGUAUCGUAAAGCUCUCUUUUUAUGGAAGUACAUAUGUAUAACUGACUGUGCUCUUCUUGACGGUACCUACUCAGAAGUCCGCGGCUAUCUACGUG
rnacentral:rRNA from 1 species